GGUGGGUUGGCUCAGUGGUUAGAGUUUAGGUCUCGUAACCCAAAGGUUGCGGGAUCGAAUCCCCAGCCUCUA
rnacentral:tRNA from 1 species